rnacentral:snRNA from 1 species
CUUUGGUUUUCUUCUUGUUC